GCCCGUCUAGCUCAGUCGGUAGAGCAUGAGACUCUCUAUCUCAGGGUUGUGGGUUCAAGCCCCAUGUUGGGUA